rnacentral:lncRNA from 1 species
ACCCCACCUCAACACAUAUCGUUGCCAACCAAACUGACUUCACAUGACACGACACGAAAAUCCAACUAAAUUGAAAAAUAACUCACCAUCAAAACAUUUGUAGAACUCAGAAGCACUUCCUGUGGACAAUGGAUGGACCAGACUCAUCGUACUCACCCUUGGAAAUCCACAUCUAAUCCAUUGCAAGAAAAGAAAAAAAAGCAUAUCAGUCUCAAGCAAAAACUAUACAUAGCAUAGGAAUAAUAAAAAAUGAAGGAAAGGAAAUCAUAAACAAAUAAGAGACACGACAAUGAUAAUCACCUGCUGGAAGGUACUGAGGGAUGCAAGGAUGGACCCUCCAAUCCAGACACUGUACUUUCUCUCUGGUGGAGCCACAACCUUAAUCUUCAUGCUGCUUGGAGCAAGAGCAGUAAUCUCCUUGCUCAUCCUGUCUGCAAUACCGGGGAACAUAGUUGACCCACCAC